rnacentral:rRNA from 1 species
GAUGAACGCUGGCGGCGUGCUUAACACAUGCAAGUCGAGCGGACAGACCAUGAGCUUGCGGGGCGGACGUGUGGGGAGGGGGGGUGAAAAACGCGUGUAUAAUGUCCCUGAAAUAGGGAGAAAAUUAGGAAAAAGGGGCGAAUACAGGAGAGGAGCUAUUGAUGCAUGGUGGUGAAUAGAAAAUUACGGUGGUGUGGGAUGGAAUAGAGGGUUAUCAGCUUGUUGGUGGAGUAGGGGCUUACAAGGGCUUUGACGGGUAGGCGGCCUUGGAGGGUGACCAGCCUCAUUGGGACUGCGAUACGGCCCAGACUCCUACGGGAGGCAGCAGUGGGGAAUAUUGCACAAUGGGCGGAAGCCUGAUGCAACAACGCCGCGUGCGGGAUGACGGCCUUCUAGUUAUAAACCGCUUUCGCCUUUGACGAAGCGUUAGUGACGGUAAUGGGUAAAGAAGCACCGGCUAACUACGUG